CAGUAGCCACGGGAAUACGUAGGGUGCGAGCGUUAAUCGGAAUUACUGGGCGUAAAGCGUGCGCAGGCGGUUUUGUAAGACAGGCGUGAAAUCCCCGGGCUCAACCUGGGAAUGGCGCUUGUGACUGCAAAGCUAGAGUGCGGCAGAGGGGGAUGGAAUUCCGCGUGUAGCAGUGAAAUGCGUAGAUAUGCGGAGGAACACCGAUGGCGAAGGCAAUCCCCUGGGCCUGCACUGACGCUCAUGCACGAAAGCGUGGGGAGCAAACAGGAUUAGAUACCCGGGUAGUCCCUGUCUCUUAUAC
rnacentral:rRNA from 1 species